rnacentral:misc_RNA from 1 species
GUACCCUCCAGCCCUGCUGGGUGUUGGGCGUUUGUUCCGCUGCGUGCGUGAACUCGCCUCAAAUACAUUGGCAGCCCGCCGUCCCGUGUGGGAGCGCAGCACAUUUGCGCUCUCCGCUGCAGACGGCGGCAUCCACAAGUCUACACCUUUAC